rnacentral:rRNA from 1 species
AUUGAACGCUGGCGGCAGGCCUAACACAUGCGAGUCGAGCGGAUGAGGGGUGCUUGCUCCCUGAUUUAGCUGCGGACUGGCGAGUAAUUCCUAGGUAUCUGCCUGUCUGCUUUUGAUAACGUUCUGACAUGAAGGCUAAUACCCCAUUCGUCCAUCCGGACUAAGCAUGGGACCUUCGGGUCUUCCGCCAUUACAUGAGCCUAUGUCGGAUUAGCUAGUUGGUGAGGUAAUGGCUCACCAAGGCGACGAUCCGUACCUGGUCUGAGAGGAUGAUCAGUCACACUGGAACUGAGACACGGUCCAGACUCCUACGGGAGGCAGCAGUGGGGAAUAUUGGACAAUGGGCGAAAGCCUGAUCCAGCCAUGCCGCGUGUGUGAAGAAGGUCUUCGGAUUGUAAAGCACUUUUGGUUGGGAAGAAGAGCUGCUGGUUAAUACCCUGCAGUUUUGACGUUACCAAAAGAAUAAGCACCGGCUAACUUCGUG